UACAGAGGUCUCGAGCGUUGUUCGGAUUCAUUGGGCGUAAAGGGUGCGUAGGUGGCUUGGUAAGUCGGAUGUGAAAUCCCGGGGCUCAACCCCGGAACUGCAUUCGAUACUGCUUGAGCUUGAGUCCUGGAGAGGAGAUCGGAAUUUACGGUGUAGCAGUGAAAUGCGUAGAUAUCGUAAGGAAGACCGGUGGCGAAGGCGGAUCUCUGGACAGGAACUGACACUUAGGCACGAAGGCCAGGGGAGCAAACGGG
rnacentral:rRNA from 1 species